GUGGGGAGGGGGUUUUUUUUUUUUUUUGAGACUAGUCAGGAUUGAGGGAAAUAUGAAUGCAGCAAUGUACAGAGACAUCCUGGAUGAAAACCUACUCCAGAGCGCGUUUAACCUCAGACUGAGAUGACGGUUCAUCUUUCAGCAGGACAAU